rnacentral:snoRNA from 1 species
AAGACUAUACUUUCAGGAAUCAUUUCUAUAGUUCGUUACUAGACUUUCUAAAUGAAUUAUAUGCUGCUGU